CCCUGCCCUGUGACGAUGUGGUCUGUUGUCGACUAUCGAUGCCUAGCUUCUUCGGUCUUCACCACUGGCCUUCGCUGUUGUGAGGUAGUGAAUUUACUGCCUCUAUUUUUUAUUUUUUUUCUUUUGUGUGGUUUUUGUUCUUUUAGAGUUUAGUUCAUUUUUUUUAUUUAUCAUUUAUGAUUUAUUCUUUAUGAGUUAUGGAUGUGUUUUUGAGAUUGUUGACUAUGGGGAUUUAGAUUUUUGAGAAUUGGGGAUUUUGUGAAUUCGAGAAUAUUUGAUAUACAUGGACAGUGAAUAUGAUUUGUAAUAAAUGACAAUGAUAAAUUGAAGAAUUUGUAUGAUAAAUAAUAAGUUGUUGGAAAUUGGAAACUUAAACUUGGUGAUAGUUUUAUUUGUGAUUUACUUUUAUGAAAAUUGGGAGUUUAUAUUUUAGGCAUUUACAUAUAUAUUGAAUAAUUUUUAAUAUUUUUUUAAUUAAAUAUUAAUAAACAAUCUUGAUAUUACGACUGUUGAUUACCAACAGUCAACGAUCAACGGUUGCACUAUCUGAAUCCUAUUGUGGCUGCAUGUGCAGCACCUUAAGAAAGGGAAUUAUAUUAUCAUAUAUAUAUAUAUAUAUAUAUAUAUAUAUAUAUAUAUAUAUAUAUAUAUAUAUAUAUAUAUAUAAUAAUUGGAGAUUCUUUUCAUAUGAAUUAAUUAAAUAUUAGUAAUCAAUCUUGCUAUAUUGGAGGUACUGUUCUAUGCUCCGCCCUGGCUCACUCGAGCGGCUGAAUCCGUCCCUGAAUGCCAUAUAAUUCACUUAAUUAUCAAGUGUUGCUAUCUAAACUAUUGUAUCAUUGGUAUUAAAUAGCGUGAUAUUACUUGUAUGCAUUGUACUUUCUAAAAAACAUGCACACAAAAAUUGGUGUAUUAGUGGAAAUGCAUACUUUUUUCAUUCUAACUUUUUUAUAUUACAUAUAACACACACAUACACAUACACAUACACAUAUUGAGGUUUUAGGAAAAUAUUGGCAAAUUUUGUGUUAAUGAUAACACGAUAGAACAAUACUGACAAAAAAAUAUAUAUUGAUACAUUAGUGGGAAUAUUCUUAUUUUUUUUAGUUCUAACUUUUUUACAUUACUUGUAUAUAUUGAAGUAUUAAGAAAACUUUAUGCCCUAUUUGGUGUCAAUAUCAAACAAGCAAAAAGUACUAAUAAAAAUUAGUAGAAAAUUUCUUACUUCUUAUCCAAGCUUUUGACAUUAGUUGUAUACAGAAUUGAUCUCCUGUUAUAAUUAAGGUUCUCUUGCCAUGUCAGCCGUAUGAAGUUUUUCUCCCAUUCAUUGAGGACAGGAAAUUAGAACUGUAAUGGUAUAUAUUGAAGUUUUAAGAAAACAUUUGCACCUUUUGUGUCAGUUCCAACUAGAAAGAAAAAAAUUUGGUGCAUUAAUGAAAAUACUCUUACUUAUUAUCCAGCUCUUUGAUAUUACUGUACACAUUGAAAAUUUAAGAAAAUAUAUGCACCUUUUGUGUAAAUACUAAACUAGACACAACAAUAUACGAAUGAAAAGAUGAAAAUUGAUGCAUUGGCAGAAAUAUUCUUACUUUUGAUUCAACCUUCAUAUAUUACUUGCAUACAUAUACUGAUAUACGAAAACAUUAGCUCAAAAUUAUCAUCUCAACCUCUAGAAAAUUAAUAGAAUUAAUUUUUUUGGACAUGAUAUGAAAAUUUUAAAUUUUGCGCAACAAUCUAGCUACUCCAUUGAAAGCGAAGGACCUAGGACAAUGACGAAAUCCGCUUUGCCUUUUUCGGAAAAUGAAAAAUAAAGGUAAAAGUGCCCAAGAAUCCUAUAACUUUUCGGAAAGUGCAAAUAGAUCCAAAAGGAAAAUAAUUAACAAAAAUAUCGAAAUAAAGAAUUUAGAAAAAAAAAAUAAAAGAAAUACAUCAUCAUUCCAAACCAACCCCGCUUCCAAAUUCAAUCCCAUCCACGGUCAAUCUUUACAUCUUUUCCAACCACCAUUGCCCUCGUCUCAUUCUUACCUAAUAGGAUCGCGCUAUUAAUAAGAAAAUUUUGAGAGAGCCUUGAUCUCCAUAGUUAGGUUUCGAAAAAAAUACACGGCAAAAACAAACAAAUUGUUAGCGAAAAAUUCCAAGCUAUCAUUUUCAUUGGUCAUUAAACUUUUUAUAGACAAAUGUAAUUAAACUAUAUAUACUAAUUAAUUUAUAUAGAGUAAAUAACCGUAAAUUCCCAAACUGUUAAAACCAUCCGUAUCCUCAAGGUAAAGUAUUGGGUGCGCAAGUGGCACAAAUGGAGAAGAAAAAUAGGAAUCCAGGUUUAAAUUUUUAGAGUAAGAAUAUCUAAUUCUUGAUUACCUUCAAAUAUCAUCAAAUGUGAGAGUUUUUUUGUAGAUAUAAGAAUAAACUUGAAUUAUCUUGGAUGGUUGACACGUGAUCUCAUCCUAACGGUUCAUACAUCUUGCACCAACAUGUCACAUCCUAGUCUUCAUAGGCCUAUGACUUCUCACAUGCUGUCUUGGGAAAAAAUAGGAGAUUUGACUCCCAAUCACCCUUGGAGAGAUGUUGCAUUCGUUACAUUGCAUGUGGCUCAAAGAGUCGAGUUACAGUUGUUCCAAGGCAUCGAGGUUGGGACCCUAAUCACCUCUUAGUACAGAGGCCCACCUAACAUGGCUAGUGUGGCUGGGUCUCUAUUGAUCGCCUGGAGAAGUGAUGAAUCUACACAGAGUUAUGUCACCUCAGAGGUUUUGUCCACGAAGCAUUGGGCAAAGCUAUCAACACCUUGAAAGAUAAUGGUCAACGGAGCAAUAGAAUGUGCCUUCGUCAUAUAGUAGGGGUGAAUGCUCUUGCUUGAGUGCCUUGAAAAUGCUCAUGUGGCAUACUGCUCAACAGACAGUUGCAUGGUUUGCCAUGGAGGCAGGGGCGUAACACUUAUGUACAUCUACUUUUUCACAUUUGGUUUUUGUUUAAUUUCUUGGAAAAUUUAAAGCUUGCUUUUUUUUUUUUUUUUUCCCUUGUUUUCUUUCUUAUUGUUCAAUAAGUGUUAGUUUUUCUUAAUUGUUU
rnacentral:lncRNA from 1 species